rnacentral:RNase_P_RNA from 1 species
CGAGGAAAACAGACAGUCGCGUGGGCAGGCCGAAAGGCCGUCUAUGAGGAAAGUCCGGGCUCCACAGGGCAAGGAUAACGGGUAACGCCCGCCGAAGGCGACUUCAGGAAAAGUGCAACAGAGAUAUACCGCCCCGCCCUCCCUUCGGGGAACGCGCCGUGACGCAGAGUCGGCGGCAUAGCCGGUGAUGACGCGGAACGGGCUGGCGGAGUAAGGAUGGAAAGGUGUGGUAAGAGCGCACCCGACGGCGUGGAAGCGUCCGUCGCUGUAAACUCUAUCCGGAGCAACACCGGUAUGGGAGCGCACAGGCUGGCCCGGCCGCUCCCGGGGUGGCUAGAGCGCGCUGGUAACAGCGCGUCGAGAUAGAUGACUGUCAAAUACAGAACCCGGCUUACAGUUUUGCUCGCAAA